AGGACGAACGCUGGCGGCGUGCUUAACACAUGCAAGUCGAGCGGAAAGGCCCUUCGGGGUACUCGAGCGGCGAACGGGUGAGUAACACGUGAGUAAUCUGCCCCUAGCUCUGGGAUAGCUCCGGGAAACCGGGAUUAAUACCGGAUACGACCACCUUAGACAUCUUUUGUGGUGGAAAGAAUUUCGGCUAGGGAUGAGCUCGCGGCCUAUCAGCUUGUUGGUGGGGUAACGGCCUACCAAGGCGACAACGGGUAGCCGGCCUGAGAGGGCGACCGGCCACACUGGGACUGAGACACGGCCCAGACUCCUACGGGAGGCAGCAGUGGGGAAUAUUGCGCAAUGGGCGAAAGCCUGACGCAGCGACGCCGCGUGGGGGAUGAAGGCCUUCGGGUUGUAAACCCCUUUCAGCAGGGACGAAGCGAAAGUGACGGUACCUGCAGAAGAAGCGCCGGCUAACUACGUGCCAGCAGCCGC
rnacentral:rRNA from 1 species